UCUCCGUUGGUGAACCAGCGGAAGGGAUCAUUA
rnacentral:rRNA from 1 species